UUAAAUUGAAGAGUUUGAUCAUGGCUCAGAUUGAACGCUGGCGGCAGGCCUAACACAUGCAAGUCGAACGGUAACAGGAAACAGCUUGCUGUUUCGCUGACGAGUGGCGGACGGGUGAGUAAUGUCUGGGAAACUGCCUGAUGGAGGGGGAUAACUACUGGAAACGGUAGCUAAUACCGCAUAACGUCGCAAGACCAAAGAGGGGGACCUUCGGGCCUCUUGCCAUCGGAUGUGCCCAGAUGGGAUUAGCUUGUUGGUGGGGUAACGGCUCACCAAGGCGACGAUCCCUAGCUGGUCUGAGAGGAUGACCAGCCACACUGGAACUGAGACACGGUCCAGACUCCUACGGGAGGCAGCAGUGGGGAAUAUUGCACAAUGGGCGCAAGCCUGAUGCAGCCAUGCCGCGUGUAUGAAGAAGGCCUUCGGGUUGUAAAGUACUUUCAGCGGGGAGGAAGGGAGUAAAGUUAAUACCUUUGCUCAUUGACGUUACCCGCAGAAGAAGCACCGGCUAACUCCGUGCCAGCAGCCGCGGUAAUACGGAGGGUGCAAGCGUUAAUCGGAAUUACUGGGCGUAAAGCGCACGCAGGCGGUUUGUUAAGUCAGAUGUGAAAUCCCCGGGCUCAACCUGGGAACUGCAUCUGAUACUGGCAAGCUUGAGUCUCGUAGAGGGGGUAGAAUUCCAGGUGUAGCGGUGAAAUGCGUAGAGAUCUGGAGGAAUACCGGUGGCGAAGGCGGCCCCCUGGACGAAGACUGACGCUCAGGUGCGAAAGCGUGGGGAGCAAACAGGAUUAGAUACCCUGGUAGUCCACGCCGUAAACGAUGUCGACUUGGAGGUUGUGCCCUUGAGGCGUGGCUUCCGGAGCUAACGCGUUAAGUCGACCGCCUGGGGAGUACGGCCGCAAGGUUAAAACUCAAAUGAAUUGACGGGGGCCCGCACAAGCGGUGGAGCAUGUGGUUUAAUUCGAUGCAACGCGAAGAACCUUACCUGGUCUUGACAUCCACGGAAGUUUUCAGAGAUGAGAAUGUGCCUUCGGGAACCGUGAGACAGGUGCUGCAUGGCUGUCGUCAGCUCGUGUUGUGAAAUGUUGGGUUAAGUCCCGCAACGAGCGCAACCCUUAUCCUUUGUUGCCAGCGGUCCGGCCGGGAACUCAAAGGAGACUGCCAGUGAUAAACUGGAGGAAGGUGGGGAUGACGUCAAGUCAUCAUGGCCCUUACGACCAGGGCUACACACGUGCUACAAUGGCGCAUACAAAGAGAAGCGACCUCGCGAGAGCAAGCGGACCUCAUAAAGUGCGUCGUAGUCCGGAUUGGAGUCUGCAACUCGACUCCAUGAAGUCGGAAUCGCUAGUAAUCGUGGAUCAGAAUGCCACGGUGAAUACGUUCCCGGGCCUUGUACACACCGCCCGUCACACCAUGGGAGUGGGUUGCAAAAGAAGUAGGUAGCUUAACCUUCGGGAGGGCGCUUACCACUUUGUGAUUCAUGACUGGGGUGAAGUCGUAACAAGGUAACCGUAGGGGAACCUGCGGUUGGAUCACCUCCUUACCUUAAAGAA
rnacentral:rRNA from 1 species